ACUCUUAGUCUGAUCACAACUGGAAUUCAAUCAGCAUAUCCGCAAUAAAUGCACCGAUUCUAGUCCCCAGAAAAGCAGUUUCCAAAACGCAUCGACUAUCCCACUUUCCUUUUCUCUUCUCACUCAUAUACCACCUAUUUAACAUCACUCAGUCAGGUUCUCUCCUUCUCCGCAGAUCCACCUCUAAUGUUCCUCACUUAGGGACCCUUUCGAUCAAGUAUGCUCGCGAUUCUUCUCUCGUUGCCUCUCUAGCUAAAUUGUGAGCCACUAGAUUUGUAGAUCGAGACACGCAAUGGCCUCUGCUGCAAACGAAGAGGCCACCUUCCCAUGAACCACUAUUUUGAAUGCGAGGACCUCCCUCGAAACAUUUCUAGCCACCACCCUUGAGGCUGAUUUUGCCCGAGAUUCAUUAAAAGUGGCGUCAAAAUUAAGUUUAACAAUGAAACUAGCUGGUGGGCACCAACCCAUACUCAACAUUGUAUGCUGGAACUAUUCUUGAACACCCAGACAAUCUCUGAAGAUAUAAUCGAUGUUUUCAGCAGCUGCUCCAUAUCUAGGACAUACUACCACCGAGAGCAAUCUCUUACACUAAAGAUUCACAAAGUGGGGAAUAAAAUUCCAAGAAAUUUUCUAGAUUAAGAUUUUUUCCUUGGAAUGUGAAUAUUCCACAGUUUUUUGUAAAAUAUUUUAGCCUUAGUCUAUAAAUAAUUAGGAAAAAUGUCAUGUAAUAAUUUAUAAGAACUUCACACAAGGAAUUCUCCAGAGGCCUCCCCUUUCCAUACCAUAAAGUCCACAUGAGGUUCCAUUGCUAA